CUCUGAGACAGAGGGGGUGGCCAGCAUGGUCCGUAAAGGGCUGGAGAAUGACCAUGUGGCCUCCAGCGACUCUGCAACUCUAUUUUAGCAGCUGUUGGUAACACGGAGGGAGGCAAGUGCAGAGAAGCCAAGUCCUUGGCCCAAAUCAAACGGCUUAUACGUACACUAUAGAGUUGAGACUCAAGUCCGGAUAUUCUGAUGUUCAAGUCAUGCUUCUAACUACAGCUCUAACCCGAUUCCCUUUUGCUUAUCAAAACUUCUCAAUCAAUCCUGCCUCCUGGGAGUCAAGGCAGACAUUCUCUGGCUCAUCUCUCCAAGGAACAGAUUUUUUCAAAACAUUAGUCAUUUACACGUUAGUCUAAAUGAGAACCUACUUUCUGAAUUCCUUUCCUGACUGGUCUCAAGAGGAGGUCCUUGUGCUGCUGCUUCAGUGCUCCCAGAGCUAUUUGCAACUCCCCAACUUAGUACUUGCCACAGGGCGUUGUACCCACCCUUCUCUGCCCCCAUGGAGAUGAACUUGUGGAUCAGAUCAUCGAGGGUGAUAUUUAUUGCUUUCAGCAUCCCCACAGGACAACCCGGCAGACACUCGGCGAGAAGUGAUGGACAAACUGAACUAAUGAAAUGAGUUAAUAAAACCCGUCCCAGUGAACGUCACACACAAGAAUAAACCUGGGCCGCUUCCCUGUUAGUGGAACGGCAGUGCUAGGGUACUUGUAUGUCCCCCCCAGCUUCCUGCCAGUCCCUCCUCCCGGAAGUCCUCAGGGACACCCUCUUCCCAACCUGUGUGCCCGUCUCUGUCUCCAGAUGCCCCUGGGGCUACAUGGAUGCAGGAGAGGUCGGGACCCCAAAGCCCACCCCUUUACAGCCCCUUCCUCUGGCUCCUGGUCCAAGGCUGUGUGAGAAACGGGAACAGCAGGAGCUUCAGCCAGGCAUGGUAGUGCACGCCUGUUACCCGGGAGGCUGAGGCAGGAGGAUCGCUGUGAGUUCGAGGCCAGCCUGAAUUACAUAGUGAGAGUCCAGGGUGGGUGGGGGCAAGGGCCUUGUAUGUUUUAGGGUUGGUCAUGGACAAACCCAGCCCUGACCCCACCUACCUGGCAGGCCUGACACACAGCUUCCGUUUCUCCAUCCGGCCAAUGGGGGUUACUGUCAUCCCCUCUUCGUGGGACCAAGGCGCUGACCCCGCACAGUGUCAGAGGCACAACGAGCUCCUCACUGCUUGCUGUACUCUCCCAGCCCUGAUGCCUUUGCACCAUGAAUGUCCAUCUACAAAUACGGAGGAGGAGAGAGUGAAACUCGGCCUCCAAGCCCCUGCCAGGAGGCCGGCCGUGUGCCCAGGCUGCAGUUGGCAGGCCAUGGUGAUGUUGAGCCCACCGG
rnacentral:lncRNA from 1 species